AAAUUGAAGAGUUUGAUCAUGGCUCAGAUUGAACGCUGGCGGCAGGCCUAACACAUGCAAGUCGAACGGUAACAGGAAGAAGCUUGCUUCUUUGCUGACGAGUGGCGGACGGGUGAGUAAUGUCUGGGAAACUGCCUGAUGGAGGGGGAUAACUACUGGAAACGGUAGCUAAUACCGCAUAACGUCGCAAGACCAAAGAGGGGGACCUUCGGGCCUCUUGCCAUCGGAUGUGCCCAGAUGGGAUUAGCUAGUAGGUGGGGUAACGGCUCACCUAGGCGACGAUCCCUAGCUGGUCUGAGAGGAUGACCAGCCACACUGGAACUGAGACACGGUCCAGACUCCUACGGGAGGCAGCAGUGGGGAAUAUUGCACAAUGGGCGCAAGCCUGAUGCAGCCAUGCCGCGUGUAUGAAGAAGGCCUUCGGGUUGUAAAGUACUUUCAGCGGGGAGGAAGGGAGUAAAGUUAAUACCUUUGCUCAUUGACGUUACCCGCAGAAGAAGCACCGGCUAACUCCGUGCCAGCAGCCGCGGUAAUACGGAGGGUGCAAGCGUUAAUCGGAAUUACUGGGCGUAAAGCGCACGCAGGCGGUUUGUUAAGUCAGAUGUGAAAUCCCCGGGCUCAACCUGGGAACUGCAUCUGAUACUGGCAAGCUUGAGUCUCGUAGAGGGGGUAGAAUUCCAGGUGUAGCGGUGAAAUGCGUAGAGAUCUGGAGGAAUACCGGUGGCGAAGGCGGCCCCCUGGACGAAGACUGACGCUCAGGUGCGAAAGCGUGGGGAGCAAACAGGAUUAGAUACCCUGGUAGUCCACGCCGUAAACGAUGUCGACUUGGAGGUUGUGCCCUUGAGGCGUGGCUUCCGGAGCUAACGCGUUAAGUCGACCGCCUGGGGAGUACGGCCGCAAGGUUAAAACUCAAAUGAAUUGACGGGGGCCCGCACAAGCGGUGGAGCAUGUGGUUUAAUUCGAUGCAACGCGAAGAACCUUACCUGGUCUUGACAUCCACGGAAGUUUUCAGAGAUGAGAAUGUGCCUUCGGGAACCGUGAGACAGGUGCUGCAUGGCUGUCGUCAGCUCGUGUUGUGAAAUGUUGGGUUAAGUCCCGCAACGAGCGCAACCCUUAUCCUUUGUUGCCAGCGGUCCGGCCGGGAACUCAAAGGAGACUGCCAGUGAUAAACUGGAGGAAGGUGGGGAUGACGUCAAGUCAUCAUGGCCCUUACGACCAGGGCUACACACGUGCUACAAUGGCGCAUACAAAGAGAAGCGACCUCGCGAGAGCAAGCGGACCUCAUAAAGUGCGUCGUAGUCCGGAUUGGAGUCUGCAACUCGACUCCAUGAAGUCGGAAUCGCUAGUAAUCGUGGAUCAGAAUGUCACGGUGAAUACGUUCCCGGGCCUUGUACACACCGCCCGUCACACCAUGGGAGUGGGUUGCAAAAGAAGUAGGUGGCUUAACCUUCGGGAGGGCGCUUACCACUUUGUGAUUCAUGACUGGGGUGAAGUCGUAACAAGGUAACCGUAGGGGAACCUGCGGUUGGAUCACCUCCUUA
rnacentral:rRNA from 1 species